UGCCCAACUAGAAGGAGACUUGCCAGUCGUGAUGAGGAUGGAAGGGAUAGGGGGGACCCCGUUUUUCUCCGAGAGAAAAACAAUGGAAGAAAACAAAAAAAAAUAAUAAGACAACAACAACCCCGAAAAAAAUGAAGAGAAAAUAAAAGAAGCAACAAACGAACGAAAGAGAAAGCGAGAACAUAUCACGCAGCAACUCGGCACAUGCGUAAUGAGAUACCUAUAACAUAUGGAGGGAAAUUCGAAUUCAAUCAACCGCGCUUCAAGAUUUUGCGCAAUUUCCUGUUCAAUCUGAAGAAUUCCGACAUGUUUGUCGUCGCAAACAUGUCCGACCUCCGACGUGGGGUUCUAAGUGAAAUUUCUCUUUUAGAGUGUCGUGCAAUGUUCUGAUUUCGAAAUCAGGUAAAACCUAACAGAGUCAUAAGUUUUGCCGGUUCAUUUUCAAUAGAGCCAAGACCGCCAAGGUGUGUCUAUAGGUUUUCAAUGUAGCCGCUGGCUGACGACCGAGGGUGUGAAACGGGUUGAAGCUCGAAUAGAAAGUAUUGAAAAAGAAGAGGAGAAAGAAGAAGAAGAAGGAGAUGGGGCGCUCGAAAAGAAUUAAAGAACAAGAUAAGAGAUCACGGCACGAGGAAAAUAUAUCCCACCACACUGCUUGAGGUGAAGAGGUCACGCUCCGGCCGAGUGAACAACCCAAAAAAGAAAAUCUCAACGAUGAGAGACGCCUUCGGCUGGUUCGCACGAGAAGGGGAAAGAUAGGGGGAAAUAAAAAAGAAACAGUUCGUUCUGAUUCUGGGGGGAAUCAUUGAACUAAAAAAACUGGGAGAUAAAUGAACUAAUCGGUAGGAAUGAUUGAAUGAACAAAUCCCCUGUGUCGUCUGUCAGAUGUGGAGAUAAGAACGGUCAGUUUAAACCAACCCCACAAUCUUUUUCAUCGGGCGAAAGAGAAUUGACGUCAAACGAGGAAGGCAAAUUAAGCAGAAAUUUCUUUUUUUUUUUUUCAGAA